UAUGGCUUCCUCGAAAGAUGGAGGCAUUCUUGCUGUUCCAGAGAAAUCAAAUAAUAAUAGAAAAUAAAGACGGCCACUUGGUUCCCUCAUAAUCGACAUCCCCUUCAAUUUUCAGAUUACAAUGAAGCCAUUGCUGUAAAUUCAUACUGAAAGAAACAUACGAAGCAGCAAGUGUAAUUGAAUUACAAAUACACUUAGCAAAAUAACAGUCACGCAACACAUGGAUUACUCGACUUCAAAUCAAGCCCACAACGCAUGAUAGUGACCAUUAUCGGCCAUGUGUCUCCUAACUUGUUCCUCGGUUGUCAUUAAGCACCCCUAGCUAAAAAUCCCAAAAAUUAUCUUUUAUAUUCAUAUAUGUUUGAAGGUUGAUUUUUUUUUACAUAAAACAAAUAAAUAUGUCUUCAUCAUGAAUGAAACAUGAAAUAUAAUAGUUGAUUUGUUAAAAUAUUAAUUGUAAAAAAUUUAUGAAACUAUGUAAAAUCAUAAUAAUUUUACACUAGUAAUACAUGUUAUACUCCAACAUGGACCGGACACGUGACAAUCCAAGAGAGAAUCAGAAAGAUAUUUACGAAUGGCUUUCCACCUCUCAUCCUCCGAUUGUCACCUAUUGCUUGGCCUCCUAAACAAAUUACCUCCCGUGGGACCAUUCACUAGUAGCAAGAACAUAUCCAACAUUAAGUUACUUGUUGCUAUGGUCAAACCAACUGCUUUUAAGUGUGUAAAUACUCCUUUUAGGGACUAUUGGAGUCCACUUGAGCAUAACAACCCUAUACUACCCCUAAAGGAACAACAACAUGAGUCCCACCAUGUACGUCCUCAUGCACUCCAUAAUCACAGUUCAUUGGUAACGAAUUGUAACACCCCUUACCUAAGACCGUUGUCGAAGUCAAGCAUGAGGCUUUACCUGACUUAACUUACUAGUUCGGAGCAUAAAAAAAAGUUUCUUUUGAAAUUAAUUCACUCACAUUCAAUCAAUAUGUCCCUAAAAGAACUCUCGAGACCCUAAAACAUGCAACAGAAAUGGUUCGGGUCCCAACCGGGAACAUUAAAAAAUUUUCGAUUACUUAAACAAAUAAAAAUAAUUUAUUUCACUAUUCACAAUAAAACUGUCCACCUGAACGGAAGUCACUAAAUUAAUUAUAACUCGAGCUCCGAAACUCGAAAUUUAGAUCCGUAAAUUUUCCCUGAAACUAGACUCAUAUAUCUUUUUACCAUAAAUUUUUAAGAAUUUUUGGUUCAGUCAAUUAGUACAGUUUAUUAGUUGAAGUCUCCCCUAUUUCACUAAUCGAUUGUCCUGACCUCUUGUCACUAAAAUUUAAUUAUCUCAUUGUACAGACUUCAUAUGGUGUUCUCACUUGUUUCUACAGAAAAUAGACUCAAUAAGGAAUCUAGAAAUAUAAAUUACAACUCAUAAAUAUUUUUUUAAAAUUUUUAAUGAUUUUCUAAAGUCAGAAUAGGGGAUUCCGAAAACCACUUUGACAUUGUCUAACUAAAAUGAAAAUAUCUCAGAAUACAUAAUUCCUUUGUCUACACUGUUAUUUUUAUAUGAAAAUAGACUCAAUAAGCUUUAAUUCUAUAUCUCAUCCACCCUCUAAUUCUUUUUCUACUAUCCUUGGUGAUUUUUCAAAAUCACAUCACUACUGCUGUCUCAAAACUGAUUCACUACCAAUUUUUACUUUUUCAUGAUUUCUAGGCAUAAUUUAUCACCUAGACUUUUAUAACAACAAACACCUUCAUACUUAGCCAUUUUAAUAACUAUUCAUCAUCAAAUAUUUACAUAUCAUCCUUUAUCAAUAUCAUAAGGACAUACAUUCAAAAUGACUAAGUCCCUAUACAUGCCAUACUUGAUAAUAACAUGGGUACUUGGGUCUCAUAUCUGAUAAUAACAUGCCAAAGUUAUGUCCCAUACAUAGUCUUACAUGGGAUGUUUCCUGUACUGCCAAUGCCAUAUCCCAGAUAUGGUCUUACAUGGGAGUUCUCAUAUCGGUGCCCAUGCCAUGUCUCAGACAUGGUCUUACAUGGGACCUCUUAUCUCGGUGCCAACGACAUGUCCCAAACAUGGUCUUACAUGAGACCUCUUUACCCAAAUGUCAUGACAUUUGUAUCCAAUACACUCCUAAUGUUUCAACGGGGCUUUUUAACACUGAUUCUCUGUCAUCUCAUACUUGAGUCAACAUUAAAUAAAUUCAUGAAAUAAAUAUAUAAUUGCUGGAAAAUAAAAACAUUAAUAAUAAUUAUUAAAAUAUUUCAUUUAUUUACCGUAAACUUACCUAGGUACAAAAUUUGACCAAAUCUAGCAACUUAGUCCUCUAUCUUUCUUUCCCC
rnacentral:lncRNA from 1 species